GAGGAAGGAUAGAAAUCAAUAAGUGCUGCUAAUACUUAUGCCCCGAGGUUAAAAUCCUCGGCUUCUUUA
rnacentral:tRNA from 1 species